rnacentral:rRNA from 1 species
CACACGACUCUCGGCAACGGAUAUCUCGGCUUUCGCAUCGAUGAAGAACGUAGCGAAAUGCGAUACCUGGUGUGAAUUGCAGAAUCCCGCGAACCAUCGAGUCUUUGAACGCAAGUUGCGCCCGAGGCCACUCGGCCGAGAGCACGCCUGCCUGGGCGUCACGC